rnacentral:rRNA from 1 species
UGGGGAAUAUUGGACAAUGGGGGAAACCCUGAUCCAGCGACGCCGCGUGGGUGAAGAAGGCCUGCGGGUUGUAAAGCCCUUUCGGUAGGGACGAAAGCUCUUGCCUUAAUACGGCAGGAGGUUGACUUAACCUACAUAAGAAGCACCGGCUAACUCUGUGCCAGCAGCCGCGGUAAUACAGAGGGUGCGAGCGUUAAUCGGAAUUACUGGGCGUAAAGCGCACGUAGUCGGCUUUGCAAGUCGGGUGUGAAAUCCCCGGGCUCAACCUGGGAACUGCAUCCGAGACUGCAUUGCUAGAGUAUGGGAGAGGGAAGCGGAAUUUCUGGUGUAGCAGUGAAAUGCGUAGAUAUCAGAAGGAACAUCAGUGGCGAAGGCGGCUUCCUGGACCAAUACUGACGAUCAGGUGCGAAAGCGUGGGGAGCAA